CAACCCAACUUCAAGUGCAGCAGCAGGUCGAUCGCGUAAAAAUUGUCUCAAUCUCACAUCCAAAAAUAUCCUUAAGGAUCGUUAUCGUUACAGUCCUUAUAACCGGUACCGCGUAAGCUUUUUCAGGAUUGUAGCAAUCGGUCGCAAUCAUGUAGCAAUAGGUCGCAAUCACGUGACUAUCGAUACUUUAGUGGUGGGUCAUACUUAUAAUCCGACUAAUUUGAAUAUCUAUGGUAACCUAGCAAUCUAUACGGCCAUAGUAGUCUUCCAAACUUGACUGCGUUGUAGCUAAUGAAAUAAAGUAUUACGAGUCUGUGCCCCGUGCCGCGGAAUAUGUGAAUUUGUGGUUCUUCUAGGUUCAUAGAGUAUUGUUUAUUUACACUUUUACGUUGAGUUGACUUUGUGUCGAAACCUAAUAAAGUAAUUUAAAAGUCGAAACUAAAAAGGAAACUGGCACCCUACAGGGCCGCCUCUGUGAGGCAGCUUGAGAUUCUCUUAGAAGUUGCUGAAAGCAACUCAAAUAUUGCACUCGAUGGCCUCGGUGGAGGACCUCUCGGCCGCCAGGUAGCUCUUAAAAAUGGGAAGAGCUUUCCAGAAAGCUCAAUUCUGUGGGGGCAGGGUGUAUUAAACCUUCGUGGAGUGGAAGCGAAUUCCUGACCUGCCUACUCAACCAAGUACAUCUACAUGUACAUCACCAAUACGAGAAAUAAUUAUUGAUGAGCAGCUUAGUGACAACUAUACAACAAACAGAGGAGCCUUCACAAAUAGAAGCUACACAUAACCCGCUACAUAUUUCACUAGCAUUAGAAGUUUCUCAGUCUGUCUAUCAUGUUGAUACUGAGAUACCAGAAGUUAGCACACCAACCAGCACACAGCACCGUCAGCCUUUAAGAAGUAAUAAACUUAUCCAAAUAUAUUUGUAACCUUUUCAUAGCCAUUGUUCACCUAACAACUAACAUUUUUAAAUUCCAUUAAUAACAAGAUAUUAAGAUAAGCCUUUAUUAACUGAAUUGAAUUACA